UGCUGCUUCGCUGACGAGUGGCGGACGGGUGAGUAAUGUCUGGGAAACUGCCUGAUGGAGGGGGAUAACUACUGGAAACGGUGGCUAAUACCGCAUAACGUCGCAAGACCAAAGAGGGGGACCUUCGGGCCUCUUGCCAUCAGAUGUGCCCAGAUGGGAUUAGCUUGUUGGUGAGGUAACGGCUCACCAAGGCGACGAUCCCUAGCUGGUCUGAGAGGAUGACCAGCCACACUGGAACUGAGACACGGUCCAGACUCCUACGGGAGGCAGCAGUGGGGAAUAUUGCACAAUGGGCGCAAGCCCGAUGCAGCCAUGCCGCGUGUAUGAAGAAGGCCUUCGGGUUGUAAAGUACUUUCAGCGGGGAGGAAGGUGUUGUGGUUAAUAACCGCAGCAAUUGACGUUACCCGCAGAAGAAGCACCGGCUAACUCCGUGCCAGCAGCCGCGGUAAUACGGAGGGUGCAAGCGUUAAUCGGAAUUACUGGGCGUAAAGCGCACGCAGGCGGUCUGUCAAGUCGGAUGUGAAAUCCCCGGGCUCAACCUGGGAACUGCAUUCGAAACUGGCAGGCUUGAGUCUUGUAGAGGGGGGUAGAAUUCCAGGUGUAGCGGUGAAAUGCGUAGAGAUCUGGAGGAAUACCGGUGGCGAAGGCGGCCCCCUGGACAAAGACUGACGCUCAGGUGCGAAAGCGUGGGGAGCA
rnacentral:rRNA from 1 species